UACGUAGGGUGCAAGCGUUAAUCGGAAUUACUGGGCGUAAAGCGCGCGCAGGCGGCUUUGCAAGACAGAUGUGAAAUCCCCGGGCUCAACCUGGGAACUGCAUUUGUGACUGCAUGGCUAGAGUGCGGCAGAGGGGGAUGGAAUUCCGCGUGUAGCAGUGAAAUGCGUAGAUAUGCGGAGGAACACCGAUGGCGAAGGCAAUCCCCUGGGCCGGCACUGACGCUCAUGCACGAAAGCGUGGGGAGCAAACAGG
rnacentral:rRNA from 1 species